rnacentral:rRNA from 1 species
UACGAAGGGUGCUAGCGUUGUUCGGAAUCACUGGGCGUAAAGCGCACGUAGGCGGACGUGUCAGUCAGGGGUGAAAUCCCGGAGCUCAACUUCGGAACUGCCUUUGAUACAGCACGUCUUGAGUCCGGAAGAGGUGGGUGGAAUUCCUAGUGUAGAGGUGAAAUUCGUAGAUAUUAGGAAGAACACCGGUGGCGAAGGCGGCCCACUGGUCCGGUACUGACGCUGAGGUGCGAAAGCGUGGGGAGCAAACAGG